rnacentral:rRNA from 1 species
GUCUACGACCAUGCUGCCCUGAACAAGUCUGAUGUCUGAUCUUGGAAGUUAAGCAGGGUCUGGCUAAGCAGUACUUGGGUAGGAGACCACCUAGGAAGACCAGGUGCUGUAGGCA